AACGAACGCUGGCGGCAUGCCUAACACAUGCAAGACGAACGAGAUCUUCGGGUCUAGUGGCGCACGGGUGCGUAAUGCGUGGGAAUCUGCCCUUUGGUUCGGAAUAACCGUUGGAAACGACUGCUAAUACCGGAUGAUGACGAAAGUCCAAAGAUUUAUCGCCAGAGGAUGAGCUCGCGUAGGAUUAGCUAGUUGGUGUGGUAAAGGCGCACCAAGGCGACGAUCCUUAGCUGGUCUGAGAGGAUGAUCAGCCACACUGGGACUGAGACACGGCCCAGACUCCUACGGGAGGCAGCAGUGGGGAAUAUUGGACAAUGGGCGAAAGCCUGAUCCAGCAAUGCCGAGUGAGUGAUGAAGGCCUUAGGGUUGUAAAGCUCUUUUACCCGGGAUGAUAAUGACAGUACCGGGAGAAUAAGCUCCGGCUAACUCCGUGCCAGCAGCCGCGGUAA
rnacentral:rRNA from 1 species